UACAGAGGGGGCAAGCGUUGUUCGGAAUUACUGGGCGUAAAGGGCGCGUAGGCGGCCCGCUAAGUCGAACGUGAAAUCCCCGAGCUCAACUCGGGAACUGCGUCCGAUACUGGCGGGCUUGAAUCCGGGAGAGGGAUGCGGAAUUCCAGGUGUAGCGGUGAAAUGCGUAGAUAUCUGCAGGAACACCCGUGGCGAAAGCGGCGCGCUGGACCACUACUGACGCUGAGGAACGAAAGCUAGGGGAGCAAACAGG
rnacentral:rRNA from 1 species